rnacentral:rRNA from 1 species
AGGCGAUUAAGUGCCUUGGAACAGGCUGCCGUAGAGGGUGAGAGCCCCGUGAAUCGCUGGAGACCGAUCAAUUAGUGCCCGCCGAAGAGUCGAGUUGUUUGGGAAUGCAGCUCUAAGUGGGUGGUAUAUUCCAUCUAAGGCUAAAUAUUAGCGAGAGACCGAUAGCAAACAAGUACAGUGAUGGAAAGAUGAAAAGAACUUUGGAAAGAGAGUGAAAUAGUACGUGAAAUUGUUGAAAGGGAAGGGUAUUUGAUCCGACAUGGUGUUUAGCAGCGGCCCGUUCCUCGUGGAUGGGUGCACCUGGUUUACACUGGGCCAGCAUCGGUUCUGGGAGCCAUAUACGGGGUUCGUGAAUGUGGCCCUUCGAUUCUGUCGGAGGGUGUUAUAGCGCGGACAUCUUGUGGCUAGCCGGGACCGGGGACUGCGGUGACUUGUCACCAAGGAUGCUGGCAGAACGAGCAAAUACCACCCGUCUUGAAACAUGGACCAAGGAGACUAACGUCUAUGCGAGUGUUUGGGUGGAUAAAACCCAUUAACGCGGAAUGAAAGUGAACGUA